UUUUUUUUCUUUAUCAGUAAACUGGGUUAAAGUUCUGCUCUUAGGGGUGGGGAGAAAAGGUCGGCCUCUGCUUCACAGUGACUGUGGAGUGCCCCAAGGCCUUUUAAUUAGGUCUGAACUGUGGGGGAUUUUUUUUUCCUCUGCUUCUUGCUGGGAGAUUCACUAGAGGCUUUUCUGCUCCUAAUUAACUUUUCAACUGAGGAUUGUAUCUCUUGUGAGUCAAGGAAGAUGUUUGUGUGCUGUGAAAUGCAGCCUGGGAUAUGGCUGAACCUUAGGGAGCUGGCUUGGGCAGGAACAGUGUAGAAGAUGAGCGAUGACCAAUGUGAAGUUCCUUGCUCUCCGCUUUCUCUGGUGUGGCUGACACAGAUGUGUCAGGAGGCAACAUGGUCCCUAUGGGGGGCCCUGGAGUUACGGGCUGGGGGCUUUACAUGCUGUGAGAACUGGAGGGGUGAGGCUUGGCCCUCUCAAAGUGCUAGGAAGGCAGCAAGGGGAAGACUUGAGGUUGGGAAGAAGCUGCCUGGUCUGGAGCAACUUAGAGGGAUCUCUGUUAGUAUUUGUGCAAGUUGGUAGCUCCCUAAUCUUACAUAAAAGCGAAAGUCCCACCAUCUUAAUUUUCUUGAUAAUUGCACUUAAUGGUGACAGACAACUUUAGUUUGGUAGACAACACCAAGGAAAUUGCAUGUGAUGAGGCAUUUCUUUCCAUGUGAUGACCUUUGGGAGGUGACAGGAAGAGUCUGUCCCUGUUUCAUUUGUGCAGGUGCUCUCCAGGAGAGCCCUGGAGUUCAGCAGCAUGGCUGUGGGACAGGAGAUGAAGUCACCUCCUGGACCUUUCUGGGAGGAGGAGGAAGUUUGCUACAGAGGACUUUCCCCCCACCUCUCCUGCUCUCUUGCAGGACAUCGUGCUGGAGGGCACAGGUUGCUCUUGCAGAGAGGAGUUGUGCAACAGCAUAAUUGCUGUUGGCCUCUGAAAAUACAGCAAAGACGACUCAGAGGUGCCAGCGCAGCUCCCUCUGGUUUGUGUGACCUCUCCAUGGAGCUAUCUGAGAUUGCUGCAGAGGUGAAGGUGAUGGGAUGGGACCAGACAGCUGAGCAAGGAAGGAGGAAUGAUCUCGAGGAGAGGCUAAUGCCCCAAACCUGCUGUGUGGGCCAACACUGACGGAGGGAAGAGAAGUGCAUAAAUAAACCAGAUAAAAAUAAAAACUUCCAUCACUUGGAA